UGGCGGUUGAGGCUUGAAAUUUUUAGAUUUUGGUUUUAUUUUCAUUGAAUAAUUUUUUUAUUUCAUGAGAACUUAAUUUUUCGUUUUAUGAUUUCAUUUAUUGGUUUUCUUUCUAUCAAUAACAACGAAUACCUUUCAUUUGACUUUGAAUGAUCAUGUUUGAUGUUUUUUUUUCUUAUUUCUGAAUCGAUUUUACUUAUGUUUUGGUUACAAAAUAUGUACAAAUCAAGUACUUUAAACCCGAAGAACCGAUUUUACUUAUGUUUUGGUUACAAAAUAGGUAUAAAUCAAGUACUUUAAAACCAAAGAACCGGUUGGAACCCAAAACCCGAAAGUAUACCGGGCUGUACCGGUUCUAUGAAGAUUUAUUAACCCCGAUCCGAACCCGAUAAAACUCGAACCGGUCCCGAACAGAAUUUUUAUAUAAUCCGAAUGGGGCUGAUUUUGAUAAACCCGAAAAACC
rnacentral:lncRNA from 1 species